CCAAUAUACAUAUAUAUAGAUUAUAAUACAGUACAACCCAAGGCUGUUCCGAGCGCUGCCGGCAGGGAUCCCGAGCUGCGGCCCCGCCCGGCGCUUCCUGCGGGAGGAGGAAGCGGCUCCAGCCCGAGGAGGAAGCGGCUCCGAGCCCAUGGAGCUGCCCCAGCCCAUGGAGCUGCCCCAGCCCAUGGAGCUGCCCCCGAGCCACUUCCCGGCCACCCGGGCCGGGGCGCUGGCCCUGGGCUACCUGCGCUACCUGCGGGGCGGCCCCGGCCGCGGGCUGGGGCUGCGGGAGGUGCGGAGAGCCCGGCGGCAGGACAUUGAUGGUGUUGGGCACAAGUACUACCUGGAGCUGGAGCUGGAAGAUCUGCUGGACAAAGGCAGGACUGUGAGCUGCACUGCUGAGGUUCUCUAUCCCCUGGGCAGCAAGAGCUGUGCUCCAGAUGUGCAGGUGACAGUGCAAGGAGAGCUCAGGAGCACUGAGGAAGCAGAUCAGGAGUUCUACAAUGGGAUCAGGAGCCUGGAAAAGGAGCUGGUGGCUGAGAACAUCCCAGACAGCCAUGGGAACAUUCCCCCAGAGCUGGAGCCCAUCUACCAGCUGGCCUGGGUGGCCUCUGGCUAUGUGAGCUGGCAGAAUUCCACUGAGAACACCUUGUUCAACCUUGCUGGAGUUAAACACGUGAAGCAAGUGAAAAGAAGUGAUGAAGAUCUCCAGUUUGACUAUGUGAUUCUAAUUCAUGACAUGGUGUCCCAGGUGAAGAAUUUUAUUCCUAAAAAUCCUUUUUUGUGUGUUUUAACCAGCUCAGACACAUAUCUGACCCUGCAGGGUGAGCUCAGGGUCCCCAUCCCUGCCUGUCUCAGCAUUAGCAGCAAUUUCCAGCUCUUUGGGGCUUUUUCUUGGGCAUGGCUGAGGUUCAGAACUGAUCCCAGUGCCAAAGUGGGCAGGGAAAUUCUGGAUGCUCAGCUGAAUUCCAGCAAUCCCAGUAACCCCCAGCAGGAACUGGCUCCCAGAACAGCAUUUACUCUCCAGCACCACUGUGGGAUCUGAGCAGGUGUUUUCACAGGAAAACCCCAGAAAAUUGGGAAGAGAAACCCUUGAGUGUAACAAUGCAGGGAUCUCCCUCCCAGCCCCAGCUCUGCACUCCCACCACUGCCUUGGGUUCAAUUCCCAGGUUUUGCAUGAAGAAAACUCCUGGCUGGUUAGAGGGGGCAGGUCCUGUUUCAGGGGGUGUUGAUGUGCUCUGUGUGUCCCACAGGAGGUGCUGGCCUGGCAGGUGACCCUGCUGUGGCACCCCCAGCGAGGGGCCCGGGUGUCCCAGUGCCAGGGG